CAAGUGUGCAUGUUCAGCUUUUGCUAUUCAAAGACAACAAUAGUUGGAGGUAUGUGGAGUUUUAUCCCAAUUUUGACAGGGUUGCUCUAAUCGUCCGACUUCCCUUUUUAUAUUUGCUGUUUUCACAAACAGUUGAAAUUGAUAUAUUCUGUUAGCCAACUGAAAAUGGCUGGCUAACCUAAAAUGCAAUCUGCAAUCUAUCCAAUGGUGAGCUCUCACUAGUAUUCGCCAUUGGAACGUUUUCUCUAUUGUCUAUUGGAGCGACAGUGAAGCGCGUAUCUCGACAGAUUGGUAAGGAGGCUUCUUUAUUCCCAUCUAAUACCAUCCACUUUCCUCACCCCCCCAACCCUUGUACCGCCGUGCACCCCAUUCUUACACAUCAACCCAGAGCCCCUCCUCUCACAUCUCUCCAUGGGUGAUAGUGUCUGGUGUUGCGAUGCAUGUCUGCUUGCCCUUCCAGACCACAACUACUCCAAAACAAUGACUCUCUGAGUUUCCUAGUGCUUUGAGGGUAGAGAGGACAGCGUCCCCUUGAUUGUAGAGCUGAGCAUGAGAGACUAGUUAGUGACCAUUUUGCCAGCAGCAGUGAGAACAAAUUAGUAGGUGACAGUGGAAGUAGGAAAGAUAACCUGCAACCAGGCAACUAAGAGAGAAAGAUACCAGCUGACUUAAUUCUGUCAAUCCAAUGGCCAGUGGCUUGAAACCAUAUUUUAUAUUGUAUGUUAUUGACAGGAGUGAAAGCACUUUGCUACAUUUGGAAUGCAUGGGCAGAUACAUACAGUACAUUCAUAAACACAUUCACAUAGAUUGCGAGUAGAAUAAGGGAAAUACUGCUUGUUGAAGUCAUGAAGAAAUGACAGAGAUUACUGGAUAUAAGCGAUACUAAAACUGUGACAAAUCAAUGUGAACGAUAUCAAAUACCUGUCGUUGGAGAUCACGAGAAGGUGCCAACAAAGUUCGUCAAAGGAUGGCUUUGUUAUCUUUUUAUCGAAUUCAACAAAAUUACCCCAUGAUGAUGGGGUUUUAGGGCGUCCAUUUUUGUUUGGUUUGUAAUUUAGGGGAUGUAGAUAAAAUGUGAUGAGUACUGGAAGCAAUAUACGUAGUAGCAUGUUGUCCUUGUAUUGUCUUUUUAUUCUGUCUGUUGUCAAAGCUUUGGAUUUACCUAGAUGUUAAAUAGAUUUACCUAAUUACAACUUUUUUAAUUUGUGAAAUUGCUGCUAUUUAAUAAGUGAUGUACUAAAAAUAAAGUUAAAACAUAUCUGAUUGGUCGUUUAGCAGGAUGUUGUAGUUCCCAGAGGUGUACUAAAUGCUAUACAUGCUGAUAAGAUAAUAAUUACUGUAAAAACAAACUCAACAAAUAAACCUGUGCCAAAAUAGAUCUUUAAAGACUGAAACGGGAAAUGCGCGUGAUUUAAAAAACAUGACAUGAAAGGAAACAUACUUUUAUAAGAAAAAUAAUGUGAAAAGUGCCAAACGAACCAUAUUUAUAAUUGUAAAUAGAAGGGAAUGGUACAAGAUACUUUUUUGUGUGUGAGUAAAAUCAAUAAAAAAUUUAGAAAUAAGCUUUUUAGUUAAACCUUUUAAUGCCCUCUUUACUACUAUGUGACAUAAAAUAAGGGAUUGUGAAGGAAGGGAGCCAUCUUGUUAGCCAGUAAUCCAAAUUUCCUUGAAUUCUACAGUACUUAGACUCCUGGGCCAGAAGAAUCAACGUAUAGAUAGAUUAGCAUGGUUAAUGAUACACAUGAUAUUAACAUUCUUAAUACAGCCUUUUAUAGUUCUGAAAAUGUAUUUUGUGGAGAUAGAUGUUAUCUUUUUUGCACGUCUAUAUUGCAUGAUAUCAAAGUGAAGCGUGGACAACAAAAAUGUAAGAAACAAAAAUUGUACAAAAAAAAAAUUAGGCGGUGUGUUUUGUUCAUUUUGAAGACAAAUCUUUGCAUGCCAACAAUGGUAAAGCAAUUUAAUUUUCCUUGACGCAUUUUCAAACGUGUGUUUUUUUCACUAAACACAUGCAGGGACAUCGUCCAGUAGAGCAAGGCCACAGUGUAAUUAGAUUGUAUGACUGGAUGAGUAUUUUGUGAGAACAUUGUCUAGGCAUCUAAACAUUCUUAGAGAGAUAGGAACAAACUUUUGAUCAAACAUGAAACAAUUCGUUUUUUUUUUUUGUUGUUGGUUGUGGCUUCUUUUACUAAAACUGCAUUAUUUAAUUCCGGAUCACAUUUUAUGCUUUUUACCAUAGAUACCAAGAUAUUGUCCAUGAAUGUACUCACCUCUGCAUAAGUUUGCAUAUCACUCUUCGAUCAUGACUUCAGGGCUUGAGUGUCCAUGUGUUUUGUGUGAAUAACUAACAUCAGGUAAGGCCAGAUCUGGCCCUAGUGUCAUUCUAACCAUCUGUUUACCCUUCCGGCUCCCUCUGAGCUUGAUCUCUUGUCUUGAUGUAAAUAUGCACUUUAUAUUUCUCAUUUAGACAGAGUUCUCAUUUAAACCCCCAUCUCCUGAAAGGAAACAGUAUUUUGAAGUAUCAAGCUAGGCUGUGUGUAGGCACCGUGUUUUUUCACGCUCUGUUGCUGCUCGGCUUUUGUAUUUCUCAAUCCCCUGGGUCUCUCUCCAGAAUUUGGGACAAGGUGUGUUUUACUCUCUAUUCGGUGAAUUUGGUCACAUUACAUGAUUACACUUUCUACAACAAAAAGUUAUAGGGAGAGAAAAAAAAGGACAAAUAUUGCCAAUAUUCCCCAUGUUGUCCAUUUCCCAACUGUCAUUCAGUUUCACCAUUAGACAACUGAGUGGUGUCGGCAUGCUCAAAAAGGGAUUGUAAAUAACAAAAGCUGGUCAGCCACAAGAAAACAUAGCUUUUCCUCAUUUAACACAGGAUCUUGCCUUUUGUAUAUUUCUCAAGCGUUCAAUGAUCUAGAUUAGUGUCAAAAAGGGACACUCAGUUUAAACUAUAACCAAAUUGACAUCCCUGUUCCUAGCAAUGCCUCAGUUGCAAUAGAAUGUCAGCAUGUAUAGCUGUAUAGCUCUGUAGAGUAAGCUGAGAUGGGGGUUUGUGCAAUAGAGUAGUACUUGCUGUGCAUGUGCUAUUGUCUGGCUCUCGUGUCUGUGUGUCUGCAGUAGGUCAGCAUCAUGGUGUCGUCUCCAUGUCGCUGGGUGAACAGAUCUGUUUUGUGAUGUGCAGAGGAAUGCAAACGUAUGGUUCACCUGCUACAGGUGACAUCAUUUAUUUUCAGUGGGUGUGUGGCUACUAGUGCUCAACUCCAAAACCUCACAAUGCCCCAACCCCCGCCCUCCUCGCUCUCACCCGCACCCACCACCCGUAGCCAGACAUUCACGGAACCCAGGGUCCCACUCUUGAGCUUGUACCCCAUCGAAGCACCAGCAAUUUUAAACUGCAUUUGUCAUAUCACUGUUCAGUUCCUCUUUAUUGUUUUCCUGUUUUUUAUUUGUACUACGCUCUCUAACCUAGACCAAUUAUAACAAAAUGCCAUUCAUGUGUACCCUGUUUACUCCCCCUUUUCUCCUUUUUGCACUUUCACUGCCCCUCCUUUUCCAACCACUCCCCCACACUUCUGCUCCGAUCCCGCCACACCACCAAACCUCCCCCCCCCUCCCCCCCACCUCCUCCUCCUCCUCGAGUUUCUCCCGAGUGCCAAACAAAAACAGUACCAUUCCAAACUUUUUUGAGUUUUCUUGUAUGUUGGACAUCCAUUGGACGCACCCAUGAAGCCAGCAUGUUCCUCCAUAACAUGAUGUCAGUCAUGACGCCUCAACAUUACCCAAAAGAAACAGAUCAAAAAAACAAAACAAAAACGAGCUAAAAGCAGACCUGGAUUAACCCGGUAAAGGCUGGCUACCUCUCAUAAACUGCUUUUCCUAAUUCUCUAUCAUCUCUUCAACCUCCAGGACAUCAUUGAUUGUGUGCCAUAGUGUUGGGGGCACUUGUCACUCUCCUCACCCCCCAAGUCUCUCCAUUUGAUUUUCGAUGGGAAAAAAAAAUAAAAAAUCCAUUUCUAAUGACGAUUUUUUUUCUUUAACAUUUAACCACACUCAGAAUGGUGUGAGGAGUGUAAUCGUCAGCUGCGCAGCCAUCCUCUGUCUUCUGAACUUUGAACUUUUCACCCCUCAUGAACUUUAUUGACCUUCUUCCUCCCCUUCUAUGUUCAUCAAACUGUUUGGACUUAAAUCUCCAUUCCAUCACCAAACCUAUUUGAGACUGUGCAAUUCUAGUUGAAAUUAUUUGAUUUUUUUUGUUUGUUUCUUAUCAGUGGGGCAAUUCACCGAGAUAAAGAAUGAAAAAUCAUCCACAAAAGAAAUACAGACAAAAAAAAAACACAAAAAAACUGUUUCUCCACAAUUUCAUUUUUCUCUCAUUGUAAAUAUUUUUGUCAGAUUUUGUUGAGCUGUAAAGAGAGGCGUGUUCAACAGAAUGGGGCCGGCAGCAUAAAAUCCACUUAGUGGAAAGAGGAAAAGAAAGGUGCACCUCAUACAUCUACUCGUUUGUUCUGCUACAGUAGCUUGUGGUCUUGACAUUGGUGUGACCUGCUGUAUUUGUUGUUGUUUAUCGCCAUGCUAUCUCCACUUAGAUAAAAUGAUAUAAAAACGUAAAAGAUAAUUCAGUUCUGGAGCUGAUAGAAUUGUUUACAUUUGCUACCGUAGUUGUAUUCGUUGGUGGUUUUGUUCCGCUUAGAGUGAGUCGUAGUUAUUGUAAUGCUUUGUAGUGUAAGAAAAUAUCAAUGUGGAGAACUUGCUGGACUCAGCACCUUACACUAAAUGUGGGACACACAAGACUAGGGGGGGAAAAAACGUGUCGUUACCAAACCACAAAAAGGAAGUUGAGGCCUCUUUAGUGCAAUAGAGUUACUGCGGUUUACAUGAUAGAAGUGAUAUAGUUUAGAACUAGGAUUAUGUUAAUUAGGCAUAUUGUAGGUGGGCGUUGGUGAAUGUAAAUGCCAACAUGACAAAGGUGCCCGUAGUGCCAACUGAGACAUAUCUCUCUCAGUGAAUUUAGUAGAGUUAAACUGACUGAAAGUAUUCAUUUGACACAGCUAGACUGGACUGACCAUAUCAUUGCUUAGCUUUGUGCUCCACUCACAAAGUUUUAUGCUGCCAGCCUCAUUUUCUGAUAACACUUCAUGAGCUAUUUAUUUUCAACCUAUAAUAUACUAUUAAUAAAUUACAAGACAACAAGAAAAAAGGGAAUGACUGGAAAGGUGAAUUAUUGUUUUUGUUUUUUUUAGCAUUUUAGUGGUUGCUUUUAACACCAUUCAUUAACUGACUUAAAGAGUAUUGAAUAUUUAAUGUAAUUGUAGCAUUGUGUUUGUAAAAAAAAAAGGAAAAAAAAGUAGUGAGUUGUGUUUAUUGACUUGUGGAUUACCAGUGAAGUCGGCAAUCUAGUGCUAAUAUAUAUUUCAUCUUUUUUUAAGGAUUAUUCUUUUCCGACAGCAACAACAGUCAUUAUAAAUGUUCAUUUUAGCAUCACCUGUCUUCUGUUGUCUUAUUCUUCACCUCCCACUACACUCAGUCAUCCAAGUAACACAUUGCAAGUUUGUGCCUGAAACCAUGUGCUCGGUCUGGGGGCGGGGCCAUAUGGUAUGAGCGACGUGUGAGUGUGUGUGCGUGUGUGCAUGCGUGUGUGUGAGUGAGUGAGUGAGUGAGUGAGUGAAUGGAAAGGCUGCUAUCUCAGCCCUUGGUGGGUGGGUGUUCUGUCCAAUGUCCACCAAAGCUAAAACCUGGAGGGCUUCCAUUCACCAAUGGAAUCCCCUGACGUUAUAGCUGGAACUUCAUCAUGUGACCUGAGCCGACUCUAUCGUUCAUAUCCCUCCCACCCAACCACUCUCCACCACUACCCUAUCCCUGAGUCAUCCCUUACCACACGUCAUCACCAUGUGAUGUUCUCCAUCGAUAACAUACUACUCGACCAGAUCCACAUUAACAUGUCUCCUCCAUGUUUCCAAAAGGAGCGCGUUGCCAGUCAACCUGCUUCCCACAUGAUACUCAACCAUCCUCUCUAGCUGCCGGGGCCAGGCCCAUCAGAAAACGAUUUGUCUCAAAACAAGAGGAUAGAGAGAAAUAGUGAUGCUCAGGGUGUCUCCUUGAUCUACCUUUAUAUCCCGCAUUCUGCGAGGAUUUAGGUAUAUAAGGAGGACAUGAAGGACAAUGUUGGACAUGCCCAUGUUUUUGCUGAACGGGCAUCAGGAAAUCAGGAGGGUUGCAGCAUAGCAAUCAGAGGUUAUGAAACAAUCGGAAGGGUUGGGACUCCUCUCACCUCAUCCAGUACACCCAACACAUUAGAAGUGACACAAUCAAGAUGUUGCUCUUUGACAUUCUCAUCCUCCCACUAUCACUGUGCACCAACCAGUUCAUCCAACCAGCAAACACCACCCCCACAUUCACCAUGUCUCCACAACCAACCUAUCCGGACCGGCGGAUUUAGGCAGAUCCAAGCAACUUCUGGCUAAUGGGCUUAGACCUCUCCAUGCAUUGGCUAUUGUUUUAUUGACCUGCAGCACAGCAGAGUCUCCAGGCAUAUCAAUAUUCACAGGAUGGUCUGAAAACCAAACCUGUCUCGCAAACCUUCCAUACACUAAAGAAGUACCUCCAAGGUUCAGAAUGAAGCAGAAUUUAUGGUUUACUGCACACACCUCCCAACGUUCGUAAUGAGCCCCUGAUCUAUGUGGUAGAGCAAAGUCAGAACUUUGAUGUGCCUUUCGCGAGGCGCUACUGUAGAUGUGUUUGUUUUGUCUCCUUGAUAGCUUUGUAGUCAUACCAGAACUUCAAUGAACUGAAAGGAGGUAAGUCAUGAGAUUAAUGGAGAAUAACUGAAUGUUAAUGGGAUAGUCACCCCAAAUUACAAAAUGACAUAUUGGUUUUGUUACCCUAUAAGCAGUCUACAGGCAAAGGAUGACAGAAAUCCGUGCUUUACGUUUUAGCAUUUGUGGCACAAAUCCCAUUACAGUCAUGGGAACGAUAUUAGCAUUUUUCACGCAUUAUGUCCAAAUCAUCCAACGUAUCUAAAACUGAUUGUGAAGCUCGACAAAGUCACAUAUGUUUAGAAAAUGAUGCGCAAAGAAUGCUAACAUCGGUCAUAUGACUUGAAUGGGAUUUAAUGCCACAAAUUCAAAAACCUUAGCAUGUGGAAACAGUGCCAAAGCAUGGAUUGCUGUCAUACCUUGGCCAUAGACUGCUUACAAGGUAAGGAAACCAAUAUGUAAUUUUUGGAAUUUGGUUGAACUAUCCCUUUAAAGGGUGUGUUUGCAUUGUAUUAUUCACUCUACGGAAUACCACUCAAACUCUGCAAGCCCCAUUUGUGGCUUGUGUUUUUACGUGAAAACCUCUGGGCAUCUGGUGAAGCCGCUACAAUGACAGAUUAGGCCCCUCCACAUACCUCCCAUCUAUCUCUCCUGCCAGUGGGACUGGAGUGGUGGUAGCUUGUGCUUCAUCUUUGCCAAUGCAGCUAAUCCUGUUAAUUGUGCAUCUCUUCUGCCUGAGGCGGUAUUGAUUUUCCUUCUCCUUGCUGCUCUUUUUCCAUCCCCUUGUUCAUCUGAAGCCCAAGAAUCCCUGUAAAUCCCAGACCAGCUGUCCCAUGGAAUUCCCUCGUCCUGUUCGGAAGUUAGAUAGGAGAGGUAGGAUAGACAUAAUGCCUUGUUGCUUUCGUACAGCAUCUUGUUGCUGAGAUCUCGGCGCUUCUACUCACUGCUUCUCAGCUGAUGCUAGUGUUGGUUAACAUCCUACUCAGUCCCAGAGGACAGAGAGUGAGAGACAAAGAGUUUGCCCUAAUACAGUAUGCUUGAGUCUGGAGGGACUAGAUUGUGCACCUAGUUGCACCCUCACCUAAGAACAAGGCCAUCAAAAUCAACUCCAAUUGAUAAUAUCAUAAUAACAAACCAGUCAGGACUUGACCCUAUGGGGUCCACAGGAUAAAAUAUAGAUAAUCCCCCUCAUAGAUAAGAUGAUAGCGAUUUAUAAUGUGCCAUAGAUACAAAUGCGGGGGUGGGGGGUUGCUAAUAAUUAUUUUGAACCUGCGUUUUGCACAAUCAGAUUGUAAAUCAAACCUGCUUUGCCUGUGGCUACAGUACAGUAGCAUUACUCACGCCACCAUACCUACUGUAUGUAACUGUUCAGAUUUCUGUCUGCAACAUCACACCCAUGUCCACUCGCACCCUACUGCGCUGUUACCUAGGUCGCUGGUAAGGGGGCUGUGCAUUUGCCAGAAUAAACAACAUAUGUUUUGAAUUGAUAGAACAC
ensembl:lncRNA